UCAACUUAGUUGCUAUUGGUCCGGUUAAGGCUACCUGCAGACCUUCUCCCAGACCUCCUCCUCAGCACCUCCCCUUAACACCUCCUAAGACCAGCAGUGGGAACUGAACUAGCAACCGUGGGGCUGCUAGGCUCUACUCUCAGGGACCAUCUCCUGUCAUUGUGCCCUAGAGCAAGACACUUAAUCCUGAAAUGGCUCUUCGUCCGAGGGGUGCUGCUCCAUCGCUGUCCCUGUGCCUCUCAACUUGUCAUCAUUUAUUGGGAUUUAUCUUCUAGGUCUAGGACAGGAGGGGUCCAUGUCAAACCAUGUCCAUUUGGGGAUAUUUUCUAGGACAGGUGAGGUGGUGGAAAUGAUCAGAGUUGCGUUCAACUUGAAUAAAGAUGAGAAACUCUGGUCUGUGGAGCCACUGGACAGAGGGGAGGACAUCUGUUUAAACCAUGUCCAUUUGGGGAUAUUUUCUAGGACAGGUGAUGUGGUGAGGAGAGAUGAAUUCAACGGAUAAAGAUGAGAAUCUCUGGUCUGGGGAGGAGAGUUAAUGACCUUAGACGGUUUGUUGCCUUGAUUAAGAGGAUACUUGCUGGCUUGAGGAGCUUAAAAAGGCCUGAUGUAUUGAAAAGGAGGAGGAAUGAUUGGCCGACACUUGUGUAUAUUACCAGCGUAACCCCAGUGGCACUGUGGCGUCGUCGAGUUCCAGCUCUCAGCAGACAGCAGGUUAGGAAUGCUGUAAGAAAUCACAGAGACAGAUGCCUGGAGUUUUCUUUUUCUUGCAGUUUGGCUCUGCUGUCUCAGCCUCUUCUUGAGCCUUUAACUGCAGGCUCAUUGACCCCA